UUCGAAGACAGUUGCUCCCAUAAAUUCCUAAAUAAAAUUUUGGAUUUCCCCUCCAUAAAUCGAAAAUUUUAUUUUGGAAUUUAUGGGAGCAACUGUCUUCGAA
rnacentral:pre_miRNA from 1 species